CUUGCAGUUCAAACUGUUCAGAAUUCUCUCAAGACUCCCUGAAAUCUCUUUUUUGAGUCAUGCUGAUUUGCAUCAUCAUUUCUCAGACUGAAAUGAAAUAAUUUCAUUUUGUCAAAACAUUCCUUCCACCACUCUCUUGAAAACCACUUGUGACUCUGUGAAUUAUCACAGGAAUUUCACAUUUGGCACAGUAUUUCUCCCAGUGAGAGGUUUGGAUCUGUUGCCUUCCCAACUGCCCACAAAGUUCUUACACUUUCCAGCACUGGGAGUUGUCCACAAAUCGAACAGAAUAAGUAAGAUAUCAGAAGAUUUAACACCCAGGCAAAGUAAAACAGCAGAAUAAUCAGAAUGUUUUCUAAGUGUAUAGAAACUAUCAGGGAGGCGAAUCCUUGUCUACAUGAAUCCCUCAGGAACAAAACAAGCUGACCCAACCCAAUUUUGCUCUCCAAUGGAUGAGACUUUGUGGAUAAGGAAGACGCAGCAGAUCCCACACACCUCCUGGCAUCGUCCCACAUGACAUCGCUAAGUGAAGAGUGCCUUGGCUGAAGUCCUGACACAAAUCUGCUUGGAAUCUGCAGUUUCCAAUGGCUCACUGUGCAAUGCAAAGGACAAAUUGAAUGGUUACUCAGCUGCUCAUGAGAUCCAUUCAAUAUUUUAUUGAUAGCCUGCAUGAGGGAACGGACUGCGUGUUUAUUAAAUCUGCCAAGAUUAAAUCUGUGAAGAGUGGCUGUGAAUACAUGGGGGAGAGCAGUGUUAAAAACUUUCGACAACUUGGACAAGUCUAUAAAUACAGGAGCCAUCUCACUGGUAAGAAAAGCAGAGUGGUUUCACUUGGGCAGGAGUAAAGUGCACAAAUACAGGACAGACACCAGCUGGCAGAAAGCAGUCUGGAAAAAUGAACAAUCUGAAGGUUCUGCUGGAUCACAGGCUGCACAGGGGUUGUUAUCCUGAGCAGAGAGAGAGUUUAUUAUCUGAGUGGCUCUAUUAGCAGCACAAAUACCUGCCAGACAUCUUGCAGCUCCUCUGCUGUCCUCUGAAACACCUGAGUGCAGAGGCACGUCCAGGUUUGGGUGCUGCUCCUCGGGAAAGGCUGACAGGCAAAGCAGCAAGACAACGGAAAACACGAGCUGAAUGAAGAGACUGAGAACAGGAGGUGCCAACAGAGAGCAAAGCAUGGAGAGGAGCAGGAAAAGCCCUGAUGGUGCAGGGUUGGUGCAGGAGCAGCCCUGUGCCAGAUCAGAGUCUGCUGCAAAAUGCCUGUGAAUGAAACAACUGCUCUGCACACGCCAGGAAUGUCACCAGCAGCUCUGAUUCUGCUGUGGAAGGAGGAGAUGGACCAAGGGCUCAGCUGGGAGUUCAUGCAGCUUCACUUUUCAAGGAUUCUGUGCCCAGCUGAGGCUGAUUACGGUUUGUCUGUCCCCUGUUUGCCCUGAUGCACCACAGUGACUUCACACAGCAAUUGCUCCUGGACAUUUGUAUCAUUUCUGCAUUAGCAUCCUCAUUAAGCACCCAGCGCAUCUCUGGUACCCUCACCUGAGACAAAAAGAAACUGUAACAGCAAAAAGAAAAGGUACAUGGCAGGAUGACAAACAUGUUCACCUCCUGCUCCUCCACACUCAAACACUCUCUCGCUCGGUGACAAGACCACAGCUGCUGCCAUCAUUUACUUACCUGAGGAGCGCAAUAUUUAGCUGGAGGGACACUGGAGUUUUCUGUUUGUUAGUUAUCAGGUCAACAACUCUCACCUUAUCACUUCAGUUUCCAUUCUGUUGAUAAAACCUGUCAGCCUUCCUUGAGUGGUUCCAGGCCCUCAGAAGAAAUCACAUUAAAUUGGCACAACCAAGUAAAUCUGUAAGGGAUGUGCUCCUGCCUAACCAAAGGGCAGGGGGGAGGGCUUGAAUUUCUUUCCCUCUUCCUGCUUGCACAGUUCCAAUGUCCGAGCGCUUGGAGCUGUGUUGAAAUCCUCCCUAAGGACUCAGCAGUUCGAGUCAGAUCAGGUCUUUGACUAUAGCCCAGAGGAGAUGUCUGUGGAGCCGAAAUUGAUAUGUUUAAGUGCAAGAGACAAUAAUCACUUCUUCAAGUAGAAGCUAAAAAUACCCACAAGAAAGUGGAAGUCAUAAUGGAGAUUUUAAAGAUCUGUGACACACCAGAGCCUGCACAGGGGUUUUAAUGAGAGAGAGGCCAAUUUAAUUGGUCAGUGCCAGCAGAUGCUCCGUUGGGUGAGGGGCUCCGAGGUCUCACACUCCCGGUGAACGCCCGGAGCGUCACUGGACGAGCCGGUGUCAGAGCACAGCCGUGUCACAGCCAGGGACAGCCUCCAUCGCCAACAUCACACGGCCCGGCCACGAGGAGAGGGCACUGAAAAGAGGAGGCAAAAGCUACAAAGGAACGUUCCUCAAGGUAAUUGCAGGACCGGCCAUCUCCACGUGCUGUUUGUUUCAUUACAGCUCUGGGCACGGAGCUAAAGCAGCCCGUUAAGUUUUAAAGUCUGUUAGGGCUGAGUUAACAAGGACUUGCUGAGCACCUCAUUCUGAAUUCACACCCCUCCCCUGUGAAAACUCUCCUGGAGUGUUUGUGGAAACCCAGAAAUAACUUCCGUGGACCAUUCAAUUACAGACAAUCACCACCCAGAGCUCCCUGUCCUCGUGGCACGGCUCAUCAAUCAGGUUUGCUGUCACCGUGUCUCUUCUCAUAGCAGUCACCAGAAGGCUCUGAGCUCCCUCCGAAUCCAUGUGACAUUUACUGUCAGGGGCUGUCAACACCAAGAGAUUCUCCCAGGGCCUCGGAGUUCAUCACAAAGCAACGAGAUCUAUCCCCAAAGCCUGCUCCCACUUCCAGCUCUGGAUUACUGUGACUGACUGAGGGGCUUUGCAGCACUCAGGGAAGAGGGAAGCAGCAGCACGAGCUACAGCUAUGCCCAAAUACCUUUGUUUGCUUAUACUCUUCUCUUUUCUUAUUCUACAGCUGCUUUAAGAGAGGUUUCAGGCAUAUGAUUAAUUAGCCUUCCUCAAAAAUAUCCCUUAUAAACUUAUUAAGAGAAAGCUGAGAUUGUUUACUUGGAAAUUCAGCCUUCCCAUCUUUUGCAUUGAUCCUGCCUUCACUCUCUGUUCAACAACAUAGUGACCUAGUGGAAAAAAUUUAUAAAACUUAAUAAAUUGCAGUUGGCAGUAUUGACAGAGUGUGUAUAUGCACAUUUGGGUUUGUAUGAAUGUAUUAUAAGAAAUCUAAUAAAGUAAAACAAACACA